AUCCGGGAGACAGACUGCGGGUGCUAACGUCCGUAGUCAAGAGGAAAACAAUCCAGACCGCCAGCUAAGGCCCCAAAAUCAUAGUUAAGUGGGAAACGAUGUGGGAAGGCAUAGACAGCUAGGAGGUUGGCUUAGAAGCAGCCACCCUUUAAAGAAAGCGUAAUAGCUCACUAGUCGAGUCGGCCUGCGCGGAAGAUGUAACGGGGCUAAAACUAUGUGCCGAAGCUGCGGAUGUAUACUUUGUAUACGUGGUAGGGGAGCGUUCUGUAAGCCGAUGAAGGUGUGUUGAGAAGCAUGCUGGAGGUAUCAGAAGUGCGAAUGCUGACGUGAGUAACGACAAAACGGGUGAAAAACCCGUUCGCCGAAAGACCAAGGGUUCCAGUCCAACGUUAAUCGGGGCUGGGUGAGUCGACCCCUAAGGCGAGGCCGAAAGGCGUAGUCGAUGGGAAAAUGGUUAAUAUUCCAUUACUUCUGUGUAAUGCGAUGAGAGGACGGAGAAGGCUAAAUCAGCCUGGCGUUGGUUGUCCAGGUGAAAGGAUGUAGG
rnacentral:rRNA from 1 species